UGGGGAAUAUUGCACAAUGGGGGAAACCCUGAUGCAGCGACGCCGCGUGGAGGAAGAAGGUCUUCGGAUUGUAAACUCCUGUUGUUGAGGAAGAUAAUGACGGUACUCAACAAGGAAGUGACGGCUAACUACGUGCCAGCAGCCGCGGUAAAACGUAGGUCACAAGCGUUGUCCGGAAUUACUGGGUGUAAAGGGAGCGCAGGCGGGAAGACAAGUUGGAAGUGAAAUCUAUGGGCUCAACCCAUAAACUGCUUUCAAAACUGUUUUUCUUGAGUAGUGCAGAGGUAGGCGGAAUUCCCGGUGUAGCGGUGGAAUGCGUAGAUAUCGGGAGGAACACCAGUGGCGAAGGCGGCCUACUGGGCACCAACUGACGCUGAGGCUCGAAAGUGUGGGUAGCAAACAGGAUUAGAUACCCUGGUAGUCCACACCGUAAACGAUGAUUACUAGGUGUUGGAGGAUUGACCCCUUCAGUGCCGCAGUUAACACAAUAAGUAAUCCACCUGGGGAGUACGACCGCAAGGUUGAAACUCAAAGGAAUUGACGGGGGCCCGCACAAGCAGUGGAGUAUGUGGUUUAAUUCGACGCAACGCGAAGAACCUUACCAAGUCUUGACAUCCUGCGACGAUGCUGGAAACAGUAUUUUCCUUCGGGACGCAGAGACAGGUGGUGCAUGGUUGUCGUCAGCUCGUGUCGUGAGAUGUUGGGUUAAGUCCCGCAACGAGCGCAACCCUUAUGGUCAGUUACUACGCAAGAGGACUCUGGCCAGACUGCCGUUGACAAAACGGAGGAAGGUGGGGAUGACGUCAAAUCAUCAUGCCCUUUAUGACCUGGGCUACACACGUACUACAAUGGCGUUAAACAAAGAGAAGCAAGACCGCGAGGUGGAGCAAAACUCAAAAAUAACGUCUCAGUUCGGAUUGUAGUCUGCAACUCGACUACAUGAAGCUGGAAUCGCUAGUAAUCGCAGAUCAGAAUGCUGCGGUGAAUACGUUCCC
rnacentral:rRNA from 1 species